rnacentral:tmRNA from 1 species
GGGGAUGAAAGGAUUUCGACUGGGGUAAAGAAACAAGGUAAGCGAGUAGUGGAGUUGCACCACUUAAAAAGUAACAACUUAAAAAUUAACUGACAAUAAUAAAACAGUUUUAGCUGCUGCCUAAGCGCACAGCCGUUCUUUUUAAGAGUGCCACGGCUUAAAUGAGAGCGUCGAUUAGUGGCGUCCGUGAAUGAAGAAGUUUCUCGGUCUUUGUCACGCAAUAGAGAAUACCGUAGCAAAAAGCCUGUUUGUCGGCAUUUUGUGAGGGGAAUCUUAAAAGACAAAAUACACUCGUAGAAAGCGUUGCAGACGGACUUUAGGACAGGGGUUCGACUCCCCUCAUCUCCACCA